rnacentral:rRNA from 1 species
AUAGCGUAUAUUAAAGUUGUUGCAGUUAAAAAGCUCGUAGUUGAAACUUGGGUCUGGCUAGCGGGUCCGCCUCACCGCGUGCACUUGUCCGGCUGGACCUUUCCUUCUGGAGAACCUCAUGCCCUUCACUGGGUGUGUUGGGGAACCAGGACUUUUACUUUGAAAAAAUUAGAGUGUUCAAAGCAGGCCUUUGCUCGAAUACGUUAGCAUGGAAUAAUAGAAUAGGACGUGCGGUCCUAUUUUGUUGGUUUCUAGGAUCGCCGUAAUGAUUAAUAGGGACGGUUGGGGGCAUUAGUAUUCAGUUGCUAGGGGUGAAAUUCUUAGAUUUACUGAAGACUAACUACUG